CCUACGGGAGGCAGCAGUGGGGAAUAUUGGGCAAUGGAGGAAACUCUGACCCAGCAACGCCGCGUGAAUGAUGAAGGUCUUCGGAUUGUAAAGUGCUUUUCUAAGGGAAGAAGAAAGUGACGGUACCUUAGGAAUAAGCCUCGGCUAACUACGUGCCAGCAGCCGCGGUAAUACGUAGGAGGCGAGCGUUAUCCGGAAUGACUGGGCGUAAAGGGGGCGUAUGUGGUUUGGCAAGUUAGUAGCGUAACUCCAAGGCUCAACCUUGGAACUACUACUAAAACUGUUGGACUUGAGUGCAGGAUGGGCAACCGGAAUUCCUAGUGUAGCGGUGGAAUGCGUAGAUAUUAGGAUGAACCCCAGUGGCGAAGGCGGGUUGCUAGACUGUAACUGACACUGAGGCACGAAAGCGUGGGGAGCAAACAGGAUUCGAUACCCCAGUAGUC
rnacentral:rRNA from 1 species